GACGAACGCUGGCGGCGUGCUUAACACAUGCAAGUCGAGCGGUAAGGCCCCUUCGGGGGUACACGAGCGGCGAACGGGUGAGUAACACGUGGGUGACCUGCCCUCAGCUCUGGGAUAAGCCUGGGAAACUGGGUCUAAUACCGGAUAUGACCUUUCCUCGCAUGGGGGUUGGUGGAAAGUUUUUUCGGCUGGGGAUGGGCCCGCGGCCGAUCAGCUUGUUGGUGGGGGGAUGGCCUACCAAGGCGACGACGGUCGGCCGGCCGGGGAGGGCGACCGGCCACACUGGGACUGAGGCACGGCCCAGACUCCUGCGGGAGGCAGCAGUGGGGAAUAUUGCGCGAUGGGCGGAAGCCUGACGCAGCGACGCCGCGUGAGGGAUGACGGCCUUCGGGUUGUAAACCUCUUUCGACCCCGACGGAUUUGGACGGUAGGGGUAGAAGAAGCACCGGCCAACUACGUG
rnacentral:rRNA from 1 species